UACGUAGGGUGCGAGCGUUAAUCGGAAUUACUGGGCGUAAAGCGUGCGCAGGCGGUUUUGUAAGCCAGAUGUGAAAUCCCCGGGCUUAACCUGGGAAUGGCAUUUGGGACUGCAAGGCUUGAGUGCGGCAGAGGAGACUGGAAUUCCUGGUGUAGCAGUGAAAUGCGUAGAUAUCGGGAAGAACACCAGUGGCGAAGGCGGCUACCUGGCACAUAACUGACGCUGAUACGCGGAAGCGUGGGGAGCGAACCGG
rnacentral:rRNA from 1 species